rnacentral:lncRNA from 1 species
AGACAGUGCGGUAAAGCCAAGGGAGAUUAUCCAGACCCCCAGGAGCGAACAGCAAGCAGCAACCGAAGGCGCAAGUGCCAGGAUUACAGCCUAGGCUGCUCCAACUAUGAGCCCUUCCUCGGACCCUGGGACUCGGCUACUUGGGGUUUGGGGGUCUUCCACACCACAGAGGCACAAAGCUGACUUUAAUCACUUUUUUUCCUUUAAACUUGAUUCUGCCGCAGUGGAGCCAGCACAGCGGAUGUUUUCACACCCAGCAAGACAAAGGCCGUCGUCUCCGCCAUGACACUGUUCCGUUCCAAGCAGAGGCCGGGAUUGUUGUCUGCGUUGCUGUGGAUCCUGAAAGGUGUUCUGUUGGCACCGGGCGCUGAGCCAGGGGCAGGCGCUGGAAACAAAAGGGAGAGACAAAAAAAUAAAGUGAUUCAAUGGGAAUAUUAAUUGCUGCUCUUGUGGAUUUUACAAAACACAUAAACUGUUUUCUUUUUCUUUCUUAAAAAAAAAUGUGGAUUGGCGCGUGUCCCUUUUGCAUGGAAUAUACAAGUAGUAUGGGAUUUACAGCCCAGUUACGGGACUCAGGAUUAGCUGCGCUGGCAUCUUUUGGGCAUAUUCUUCCUUUUAAUGAAUGAGCUUUCGCUGUUAAUGAGGAAUAAUCGUUUGGCUAAUGAGCUUUGAAACAUUAAGAGAAAAGAGGUUUUUUCCGUUAAUCGCUCUGGUGCGACUGCAUGGAUGGAUUACAAAAGACAGCAAUAGGAACGCAGUACAAAGGGGGGGACCUCUCCUGCAGUGGGAGAAGCACCGAGAUGGGUGAUGUGUCCCUGCGUCUUUCCUUCCUUCUCUCUUUCGCUCUCUCUGCCAACUGCUAUGGGUUUCCAUAACUCUGCAAUCAAAGUGGAUGGUCGGGAAGGAUUAUUACACAGAGUGAAGCCUCCGCUGUUAAUGUCUCCAGUGUUUAAUCAUCAUACAGUAGAAUGGUUUUAUGCAUAUUUCAUUUGCAUAUCAUUAAACUGUGUUAGUGAGGGGCAUUCAGAACCAGGAGAAGUACAAAGUUGGGGAGAGAGGGAAGAAAAAAAGGUCCCUAUGAUGCUUAUCUUCAAACGGGGACUUGUUCCAUGAUCUGUCUUCUACUUUUGCUAAAAUCAUUAUGACUUGGAAACCUUUGAAGUUGGAUACAACCUUGGAUUCUUCUAAUUCCUGCAGAGCAGUGUAUUUUACAAAACAGCAGAAAUGUUCCUGCACUAGACAAUUAAAGGAAUAUAAACUCCAGUGGGCUGAAACUAGUAGCUCUUUGGGGAAUGCAGUAGCAGAGGCUUCUACAAAUACCAACACUUAAAAAUAUAUAAUAAACAGCAUCAUAUUAGAAACAAAGAAAACGAAGACAAGAAAUAUUAACACGUGGAUUAUAUUUGUUUCUUUUGGGGGGUAAUGAACUAAAGAGAAUGAAGAAGCCAUCGGUAAUUUAUCCCUUCAUUAAUGAACAGUCACCUUUUUGUAUGUGUUUGUUUUUGUCCUUUCUUUUUGAAGAGGGAUGUUGUUACUUUUGAAGCAAUUAGUCAAUUAUUUUGUAGCUCUGAUCUUUUCCCCCUGCACCCGACAGGACAGAAAGGUGGUGGUUAGGGAAUAUGUGAGUACUUGGGGAGGGGGGGACUUGGUGGGGAGAGAAAGAAUACAGUGAGUUCUUUGUAGAUCUUAUACAUGCACAACAUAUUAAUUGGGGGCUUUUAAAGCUCCCUCAAUGGGCUAUUUCAUUCCUGGUAAAACAGCAGCUGGUUAGCCACUACUGGUGACUCUUCAAAUAUUACUUCAUUUUUAUUCUGUCGCCGUUGUUGUUGUCUUGCUUUGUUUUUCCUCAGUUAAGAAUGAAAAUGUAGUAUCACCCCCUCUUUAGUGAGUCUCUUCUCCAUCUUCUUCACUCCAAUUUCCAAACUGUAAAACAAUGUUGGCUUAAUACUGAGUCCUGGUGCACAGUCUAACUGGCACAACUUGAUUUGGAAAUGAGAUGCUGCUUUAUAUUUAAAUUACCCCGGCUCCCCCCUUAUCCUCCAAAGCUUUGUCUCUGUUAUGAAUAUGCAGAUGAGGCCUGAUGUGAUUACACUGUACAAUUACUCCUAUCCAUGGUGGUGUCAGGGGCUGCUAGGGAGACAGAGAGUCAGACAGCCUCCAAGCCAAUACAGAGUUUUGUUUUCGGUAUUUUUCCUAUCUCCUUGGCACUGCGGCACAUGCAGAUGUCGCUGUUGUUCUUUAUAAAGCCCUAAUGUAUGCAAAAGCAUAACGAUUUGGUUUGGACGCAAAGCAUCAACGAAAUAUUAUGGAUGUCUUCAAGAAAGGGGGAGAGAAAAUCCUGACUGAAGGAAUGUCCACAUAAAUUAUUUUUAUUUAAAUGAAUUCAAAGGAUGGGAUGAGGGCAAGUCAGACGGAGUCGCGUGGAAAACAUGAAUAAUAUUAAUAUGCAUAAAGAAUUCUCACCAACGAGGAGAAGCUCCUCACUACAGCUCUUGGGACAAACAGGUUCAUUAGGAAACAGCUCAGAGCGACUACAGCAUUUUGCUAUUUCAAUUUUUUCCCUUAUUUUAAAUGAAGAGUCAGACAGAUGUGUUUUCUUUGCAUGGCAGCAUUGAGAUGGAUCCAAUCUGCGAAAUUUGCUGCCCAAAUAGCAUUUCUAAUGGAAACUGGAACUAAACAAGGGCACGGAUAUGGGAGGGAGGGGAGAAGAGAGAAUACACGAAGAAGAGUAUAUUCAGAGCCACUGCAUGGCAUUUUGAGUACAGGAGGUUUUCAGGAACGAUCUUUGCUUCAUUAGUCUCCCCUGUGGGCUCCUGAUGUAGGGAGCUAUCAGGGUAUACCAAGAUGAGCACUGAGACAGGCCUUUCUAGGUCUGAGGCUGAGGAAAGCAGCGGCAACUUGGUGCCUGUCCCCCAGAGCUGUCUACAGUUCAGAAGCCAAAAGCACAGCUACUUCUAAUUUGGGGAUGCAGUAGAGUGCCUACUGAUCCAGGUAUUUGUGAAAGAUGGAAUUCUUGGUGCUAUCAUAGUAUACAUUGCUAAAGAGCAGAUGAAAUCGGCUGCUUAAGGAGGCCUGAUAAUAUUUAUGUUGGUUAAUUCUCAUGAUAAUGAUAACUGCACUUGUCUAGUAUUUUCAGAAUGUUAAAAUUACCAGUGUGGCUUAAUGCAUGUUUACAAUAAAUAGAGAGGGACAAAGAGUGAAUGAGCCUAUUGGGUGGAUUCAAAACUGAUAAAAUAUUUGGACUAUUACUCAUGGUCUCCAAGGAUUAACAAAGAAAGUCAAAGAAGCAGUAGUCGGAAAAAAAGAGAUUUUGUUACUUCCCUUGGGCAGGUGGACAGAGUUCAAAUUACUUUCAUAAUUCAGCUAAAAGAAUUUUAUACUUCAGUUGAAAUUACAUGAAGACAUUUUUGAUCUGAUAUACAUAUCUGCAUAAAUUUCUAUUAUGACAUCAUAACGUUGACCUGGAACUGGUCUGAUUAUAAGCAUGUUCUAAAUACUGUUGCUCUUCACCUAUAAUCUCUAAAACUUCCAUUUAUAAGUUUCUUUUAAGACUCCCCCUCCAAUAAUUUCCAACUGUUACACGAUUCUCAACUGUUGGUACAGUGUACAAAACUACAGAGUACAGUGAAUUGAUGAUUAUUUGGAGAAUGGCUAUUUAAUCUGAAUUAUUCAUAUUUAACCUCUUAUACUUUCCAUCUCUGUUGCCAGAAUUACGGAUAUAGAAUUUUGAAAGAAUACAUGUAAAGAAUUAAGCACAGUAUCUGCACAUAACAAGCUCUAAAUAAGUGUUAGAUUUUAUUACUGCUAUCAUUACUAUUAUUACUUCAGUGUGUUGGUUACCAUUUGAGAGAAAUAAGGAAAAGAAAAUAAAAUUCAAUUUAAAAUUCAACCUUUACUUUCACUAUUAAAUAGCAAUGCAGGUAAAAGGCUGAGUGGAAAAGCAUUAAAUAGAUAUUCAUGGUGAAUAGACUGUGAAUGAUCUGUAAUCAGAAGUCAAACUACAGCUUAUGUCAAUGCACACUAGACCCAUGAAAGAGUUC